rnacentral:rRNA from 1 species
GACGGAGGAUGCAAGCGUUAUCCGGAAUUAUUGGGCGUAAAGCGUCCGCAGGUGGUGGCUCAAGUCUGUCGUUAAAGCUCGGGGCUCAACCCCGAAAAGGCGGUGGAAACUGGGUAACUAGAGUACGGCAGGGGUAGAGGGAAUUCUCAGUGUAGCGGUGAAAUGCGUAGAGAUUGGGAAGAACACCAGUGGCGAAAGCGCUCUACUGGACCUGUACUGACACUCAAGGACGAAAGCUAGGGGAGCAAAAGGG